rnacentral:rRNA from 1 species
GACGAACGCUGGCGGCGUGCCUAAUACAUGCAAGUCGAACGAGAGCGACCGGUGCUUGCACUGGUCAAUCUAGUGGCGAACGGGUGAGUAACACGUGGGUAACCUGCCCAUCAGAGGGGGAUAACAUCCGGAAACGGAUGCUAAAACCGCAUAGGUCUUCGAGCCGCAUGGCUUGAAGAGGAAAAGAGGCGCAAGCUUCUGCUGAUGGAUGGACCCGCGGUGCAUUAGCUAGUUGGUGAGGUAACGGCUCACCAAGGCCGUGAUGCAUAGCCGACCUGAGAGGGUGAUCGGCCACAUUGGGACUGAGACACGGCCCAAACUCCUACGGGAGGCAGCAGUAGGGAAUCUUCCGCAAUGGACGCAAGUCUGACGGAGCAACGCCGCGUGAGUGAAGAAGGUUUUCGGAUCGUAAAGCUCUGUUGUUAGAGAAGAACAAGUGCUAGAGUAACUGUUAGCGCCUUGACGGUAUCUAACCAGAAAGCCACGGCUAACUACGUG